rnacentral:rRNA from 1 species
AAAUUGAAGAGUUUGAUCAUGGCUCAGAUUGAACGCUGGCGGCAGGCCUAACACAUGCAAGUCGAACGGUAACAGGAAGCAGCUUGCUGCUUCGCUGACGAGUGGCGGACGGGUGAGUAAUGUCUGGGAAACUGCCUGAUGGAGGGGGAUAACUACUGGAAACGGUAGCUAAUACCGCAUAAUGUCGCAAGACCAAAGAGGGGGACCUUCGGGCCUCUUGCCAUCGGAUGUGCCCAGAUGGGAUUAGCUUGUUGGUGGGGUAACGGCUCACCUAGGCGACGAUCCCUAGCUGGUCUGAGAGGAUGACCAGCCACACUGGAACUGAGACACGGUCCAGACUCCUACGGGAGGCAGCAGUGGGGAAUAUUGCACAAUGGGCGCAAGCCUGAUGCAGCCAUGCCGCGUGUAUGAAGAAGGCCUUCGGGUUGUAAAGUACUUUCAGCGGGGAGGAAGGGAGUAAAGUUAAUA